GCCUUCGUGGUGUAAUGGUCAGCACAUUCGGCGCGUAUUCGAGAAGUCCGUGGUUCGAGUCCCGGUGAAGGCA
rnacentral:tRNA from 1 species